AUUGAACGCUGGCGGCAUGCCUUACACAUGCAAGUCGAACGGCAGCAUGAUCUAGCUUGCUAGUUUGAUGGCGAGUGGCGAACGGGUGAGUCAUACAUAGGAACGUGCCCUGUAGUGGGGGAUAACUAGUCGAAAGAUUAGCUGAUACCGCAUACGACCUGAGGGUGAAAGUGGGGGACCGCAAGGCCUCAUGCUAUAGGAGCGGCCGAUGUGUGGUUAGCUAGUUGGUGGGGUAAAGGCUCACCAAGGUGACGAUCAGGAGCUGGUCUGAGAGGACGAUCAGCCACACUGGGACUGAGACACGGCCCAUACUCCUACGGGAGGCAGCAGUGGGGAAUUUUGGACAAUGGGCGAAAGCCUGAUCCAGCGAUGCGGCGUGUGUGAAGAAGGCCUUCGGGUUGUAAAGCACUUUUGUCCGGAAAGAAAUGGCUCUGGUUAAUACCUGGGGUCGAUGACGGUACCGGAAGAAUAAGGACCGGCUAACUACGUG
rnacentral:rRNA from 1 species